AGGGCACCACCAGGAGUGGAGCCUGCGGCUUAAUUUGACUCAACACGGAAAAUCUCACCAGGCCCGGACACCGGUAGGAUUGACAGAUUGAGAGCUCUUUCUUGAUUCGGUGGGUGGUGGUGCAUGGCCGUUCUUAGUUGGUGGAGCGAUUUGUCUGGUUAAUUCCGAUAACGAACGAGACUCUAGCCUAUUAAAUAGACUGCUCAGCUUUAUAGCCGGAAUCACUGGGCGUGUAGCUCUCCGCAAGGGGGGUUGCAUGUUCGGCUCUGGUGACGUUGGCAGUGCUUCUUAGAGGGACAGGCGGCGGUUCAGCCGCACGAAACAGAGCAAUAACAGGUCUGUGAUGCCCUUAGAUGUCCGGGGCUGCACGCGCGCUACACUGAAGUGAUCAGCGUGCAAUUUACGUUUGGUGAUCUGUCAAGAUUGCCCAACCCGUUGAACCUUCUUCGUGAUUGGGAUAGGGGAUUGUAAUUAUUCCCCUUGAACGAGGAAUUCCCAGUAAGCGCAAGUCAUAAGCUU
rnacentral:rRNA from 1 species